GAUGAACGCUGGCGGCGUGCUUAACACAUGCAAGUCGAACGGAAAGGCCCAAGCUUGCUUGGGUGCUCGAGUGGCGAACGGGUGAGUAACACGUGGGUGAUCUGCCCUGCACUUUGGGAUAAGCCUGGGAAACUGGGUCUAAUACCGGAUAGGACCAUCGUUUAGUGUCGGUGGUGGAAAGUUUUUCGGUGUGGGAUGAGCUCGCGGCCUAUCAGCUUGUUGGUGGGGUAAUGGCCUACCAAGGCGUCGACGGGUAGCCGGCCUGAGAGGGUGUACGGCCACAUUGGGACUGAGAUACGGCCCAGACUCCUACGGAGGCAGCAGUGGGGAAUAUUGCACAAUGGGCGCAAGCCUGAUGCAGCGCCGCCGCGGGGGGGAGGACGGCCUUCGGGUUGUAAACUCCUUUCGCCAAGGACGAAGCGUUUUGUGACGGUACUUGGAGAAGAAGCACCGGCUAACUACGUG
rnacentral:rRNA from 1 species